CCUACGGGAGGCAGCAGUGGGGAAUAUUGCACAAUGGGGGAAACCCUGAUGCAGCGACGCCGCGUGAGUGAAGAAGUAUCUCGGUACGUAAAGCUCUAUCAGCAGGGAAGAAAAUGACGGUACCUGACUAAGAAGCCCCGGCUAACUACGUGCCAGCAGCCGCGGUAAUACGUAGGGGGCAAGCGUUAUCCGGAUUUACUGGGUGUAAAGGGAGCGUAGACGGUGAUGUAAGUCUGGAGUGAAAGGCGGGGGCCCAACCCCCGGACUGCUCUGGAAACUGUGGAGCUAGAGGGCUGGAGAGGUAAGUGGAAUUCCUAGUGUAGCGGUGAAAUGCGUAGAUAUUAGGAGGAACACCAGUGGCGAAGGCGGCUUACUGGACAGUAACUGACGUUGAGGCUCGAAAGCGUGGGGAGCAAACAGGAUUAGAUACCCUUGUAGUC
rnacentral:rRNA from 1 species